CUCUCUGCAAAAAAAUUACAACAAAUGCACUAAACUCCGCCGAAAUUUCCUAAAAAAUAAUAUUUCAGCCAAGUAAAAUAUGGACGGAGCGAUCCCUUUUUAAUCGCAUAGUUGCCAGCUAAAUUUUUGCACUGAAAACAAAACUUGAAAUGUGUAUAGUUAAACUUAAAUUACAGACCAUCAGGAAAAUUGAGUGAGU
rnacentral:lncRNA from 1 species